UACGUAGGGUGCGAGCGUUAAUCGGAAUUACUGGGCGUAAAGCGUGCGCAGGCGGCGCCGCAAGUCAGGCGUGAAAUCCCCGAGCUUAACUUGGGAAUGGCGCUUGAAACUACGGUGCUGGAGUGUGGCAGAGGGAGGUGGAAUUCCACGUGUAGCGGUAAAAUGCGUAGAGAUGUGGAGGAACACCGAUGGCGAAGGCAGCCUCCUGGGCCAACACUGACGCUCAUGCACGAAAGCGUGGGGAGCAAACAGG
rnacentral:rRNA from 1 species